GUUGAACGCUGGCGGCGGGCCUAACACAUGCAAGUCGAACGAGUGGCGGACGGGUGGGUAAUUUCUGGGAACCUGCCUGAUGGAGGGGGCAAACUGCUGGAACCGUUGGCUACUACCGCAUACCAUCAGUUGUGCCCUGAGGGGUUUAGCUGGUUGGUGGGGGAACGGCUCACCAAGGGGACGAUCCAUAGCUGGUCUGAGAGGAUGACCAGCCACACUGGGACUGAGACACGGUCCAGACUCCUACGGGAGGCAGAAGUGGGGAAUAUUGCACAAUGGGCGCAAGCCUGAUGCAGCCAUGCCGCGUGUAUGAAGAAGGCCUUCGGGUUGUAAAGUACUGUCGGCGGGGAGGCGUUACCCACAGAAGAAGCACCGGCUAACUCCGUGCCAGCAGCCGCGGUAAUUC
rnacentral:rRNA from 1 species